GUCAGGAUGGCUGAGUGGUCUAAGGUGCUGCGUUCAGGUUGUGGUCUCUGCUGGAGGUGUGGGUUCAAAUCCCACUUCUGACA
rnacentral:tRNA from 1 species